rnacentral:rRNA from 1 species
AUACAUGCAAGUCGAGCGAAUGGAUUAAGAGCUUGCUCUUAUGAAGUUAGCGGCGGACGGGUGAGUAACACGUGGGUAACCUGCCCAUAAGACUGGGAUAACUCCGGGAAACCGGGGCUAAUACCGGAUAACAUUUUGAACCGCAUGGUUCGAAAUUGAAAGGCGGCUUCGGCUGUCACUUAUGGAUGGACCCGCGUCGCAUUAGCUAGUUGGUGAGGUAACGGCUCACCAAGGCAACGAUGCGUAGCCGACCUGAGAGGGUGAUCGGCCACACUGGGACUGAGACACGGCCCAGACUCCUACGGGAGGCAGCAGUAGGGAAUCUUCCGCAAUGGACGAAAGUCUGACGGAGCAACGCCGCGUGAGUGAUGAAGGCUUUCGGGUCGUAAAACUCUGUUGUUAGGGAAGAACAAGUGCUAGUUGAAUAAGCUGGCACCUUGACGGUACCUAACCAGAAAGCCACGGCUAACUACGUGCCAGCAGCCGCGGUAAUACGUAGGUGGCAAGCGUUAUCCGGAAUUAUUGGGCGUAAAGCGCGCGCAGGUGGUUUCUUAAGUCUGAUGUGAAAGCCCACGGCUCAACCGUGGAGGGUCAUUGGAAACUGGGAGACUUGAGUGCAGAAGAGGAAAGUGGAAUUCCAUGUGUAGCGGUGAAAUGCGUAGAGAUAUGGAGGAACACCAGUGGCGAAGGCGACUUUCUGGUCUGUAACUGACACUGAGGCGCGUAAUGCUGACCUCCC